UUCCGGUUGAUCCUGCCGGAGGCCAUUGCUAUCGGAGUCCGACUUAGCCAUGCUAGUCGCACGGGUUAGACCCGUGGCGAAAAGCUCAGUAACACGUGGCCAAACUACCCUGUGGACGAAGAUAACCUCGGGAAACUGAGGCUAAUAUUCGAUACGACUCACACGCUGGAGUGCGGUGAGUCGGAAACGUUCUGGCGCCACAGGAUGUGGCUGCGGCCGAUUAGGUAGACGGUGGGGUAACGGCCCACCGUGCCGAUAAUCGGUACGGGUCAUGAGAGUGAGAGCCCGGAGACGGCAUCUGAGACAAGAUGCCGGGCCCUACGGGGCGCAGCAGGCGCGAAACCUUUACACUGCACGACAGUGCGAUAGGGGGACUCCGAGUGCGAGGGCAUAUAGUCCUCGCUUUUCUGUACCGUAAGGUGGUACAGGAACAAGGGCUGGGCAAGACCGGUGCCAGCCGCCGCGGUAAUACCGGCUGCCCGAGUGAUGGCCGCUAUUAUUGGGCCUAAAGCGUCCGUAGCCGGCCAGACAAGUCCGUUGGGAAAUCGACGCGCUCAACGCGUCGGCGUCCGGCGGAAACUGUCUGGCUUGGGGCCGGAAGACUCGAGGGGUACGUCCGGGGUAGGAGUGAAAUCCCGUAAUCCUGGACGGACCACCGGUGGCGAAAGCGCCUCGAGAAGACGGACCCGACGGUGAGGGACGAAAGCCAGGGUCUCGAACCGGAUUAGAUACCCGGGUAGUCCUGGCCGUAAACGAUGCUCGCUAGGUGUGCCGCAGGCUACGAGCCUGCGCUGUGCCGUAGGGAAGCCGUGAAGCGAGCCGCCUGGGAAGUACGUCUGCAAGGAUGAAACUUAAAGGAAUUGGCGGGGGAGCACUACAACCGGAGGAGCCUGCGGUUUAAUUGGACUCAACGCCGGG
rnacentral:rRNA from 1 species